GAAAGCAGGGGAUCGUAAGACCUUGUGCUUUUGGAGUGGCCGAUGCCUGAUUAGCUAGUUGGUAGGGUAAUGGCCUACCAAGGCGACGAUCAGUAGUUGGUCUGAGAGGACGACCAGCCACACUGGGACUGAGACACGGCCCAGACUCCUACGGGAGGCAGCAGUGGGGAAUUUUGGACAAUGGGCGCAAGCCUGAUCCAGCAAUGCCGCGUGAGUGAAGAAGGCCUUCGGGUUGUAAAGCUCUUUCAGUUGAGAAGAAAAGGUUGUGACUAAUAAUCACAACUCAUGACGGUAUCGACAGAAGAAGCACCGGCUAACUACGUGCCAGCAGCCGCGGUAAUACGUAGGGUGCGAGCGUUAAUCGGAAUUACUGGGCGUAAAGGGUGCGCAGGCGGCUUUGUAAGUCAGAUGUGAAAUCCCCGGGCUUAACCUGGGAAUUGCGUUUGAAACUCAAAGCU
rnacentral:rRNA from 1 species